UCCGGUAUGGUGUAGUGGCUAACAUUUCGCGCUCUCAUAAACUGAGGGACUAGCACCGCGGAGCCCAGGGUUCGAUUCCCUGUACCGGAG
rfam:Fusarium oxysporum f. sp. cubense tropical race 4 54006 unplaced genomic scaffold supercont1.9, whole genome shotgun sequence.